GGAAGAAAAGGAUUCGAAAGCUCCGUCACCUGUGAUUGCUCUUUCAACCACAACUCCACUUGCCGUAUCGUCGCCAUAGCUCUGAAGUCCCAGAAUCUAUCAGGCAUUGUGCCACCAGAGUUUUCCAAGCUUCGCUUCCUCAAACAGCUAGACCUCAGUCGAAACUGUCUCACUGGUUCUAUCCCUUCACAAUGGGCUACCAUGCGAUUGGUAGAACUCUC
rnacentral:misc_RNA from 1 species